rnacentral:rRNA from 1 species
GACGAGGGGUCCUAGCGUUGUUCGGAAUUACUGGGCGUAAAGCGUAUGUAGGCGGCUUUUUAAGUCGGGUGUGAAAUCCCAUGGCUCAACCAUGGAAUUGCAUUCGAAACUGGAGAGCUUGAGUGUGGGAGAGAUUGGUAGAAUACCUGGUGUAGUGGUGAAAUACGUAGAUAUCAGGUGGAAUACCGGUGGCGAAGGCGGCAAUUGGCCCAACACUGACGCUGAGAUACGAAAAGCGUGGGGAAUCAAACAGGGAUUAAGAA